GACGAACGCUGGCGGCGUGCUUAACACAUGCAAGUCGAACGGAAAGGCCUGCUUUCCCUUGUGGAUUGCGGGUACUCGAGUGGCGAACGGGUGAGUAACACGUGAGUGAUCUGCACCCAACUUGGGUAUAAGCCUGGGAAACUGGGUCUAAUUCUCGAUAGGACUGCAGGGUGGUGCCUGUGGUGGAAAACGAUUUUCUAGUGGUUGGGGAUGAGCUCGCGGCCUAUCAGCUUGUUGGUGGGGUAAUGGCCUACCAAGGCGGCGACGGGUAGCCGGCCUGGGAGGGUGGACGGCCAAACUGGGACAGGGAUACGGCCCAGACGCCUACGAGAGGCAGGAGUGGGGAAUAAUGCACAGUAGGCGGAAGGCUGAUGCGGCGACGGCGCGUGGGGGAUGACGGCCUUCGGGUUGUAAACUCCUUGCGACCGCGAGGAAGCCACCUGGUUGGAAGGGUGGUGACGGUAGUGGUAGAAGAAGCACCGGCUAACUACGUG
rnacentral:rRNA from 1 species